UACGUAGGGGGCAAGCGUUGUCCGGAUUUAUUGGGCGUAAAGAGCGUGUAGGCGGCCAUGUAGGUCCGUUGUGAAAACUCGAGGCUCAACCUCGAGACGCCGAUGGAAACCAUGUGGCUAGAGUCCGGAAGAGGAGAGUGGAAUUCCUGGUGUAGCGGUGAAAUGCGCAGAUAUCAGGAGGAACACCGGUGGCGAAGGCGGGUCUCUGGGACGGUACUGACGCUGAGACGCGAAAGCGUGGGGAGCGAACAGG
rnacentral:rRNA from 1 species